rnacentral:lncRNA from 1 species
UAUGGCAUGUCAAAACAAUUUUUAUUUUGCCAGAUAUAUUAGACAUAAAAGAUGUGUAAGUUUACUUUUUAAACACAGUCUUUUUGCAUGUCAGCACAUUUUACAAGGAUAAAGAAAAAACUUUUGAUUAAAUAACUUUUGUACCUCUACGGUCUAAUAAAACUCCUUACUAAGUUGCUUUUUACAUUCUUUGCAAAAAGAAAAACCACAUCACGUGACAAUGCGGGUGCUAAACUGGGCCAAGGGCCAGCCCCAGGGAGUAGAUCUCAGUGGAAGAAAGAGGAUCCAGGCACUCCAAGUAUCUUCAAUUUUAUUUAUUAGGACAAGUGAGACGACGCAAGAUUGACAAAGACCCUUUCAGGGGUGGAAACGUCACUUAUUCUAAUAAAUAAAAUUGAAGAUAUAGUUACAUUAUUUUACAGAGUUUUGUGUCAUCUGCAAACACUGAAACAUGACUUUCAAUGUUUUUUUCAAGAUCAUUUAUAAACAUGUUACAUAGAAUGGGUCCCAGAACAGACCCAUGAGGGACACCACUUGCCACCUCUGUCCAGCUUGAAAAUUUACCAUUAAUGACAACUCUUUGUACUCUAUUUCUAAGCCAAUGUUCUACCCAAGAACAAGCAUUUUCAUCUAGACCGAUUUCCUUGAGUUUGAACACUAAUCUAUUGUGCGGAACUGUAUCAAAUACCUUGGCAAAAUCCAAAUAGAUCACAUCCACGGCAACACCCUGAUCUAUACUUCUACUUACUUCUUCGUAGAACGCAAUCAAGUUAGUUUGACAUGACCUGUGCUUCAUAAAACCGUGAUGAUUUUUGCUAAUAACCAUGUUCUUCUCAAGGAAUUCUUGAAUAUUAUCCCUUAAUAACCUUUCAAAUAUUUUCCCAGACACAGAAGUUAAGCUCACAGGUCUAUAAUUUCCAGGCAAGGAUUUUGAAGCCUUUUUGAAUAUAGGAACCACAUCUGCCUUCCUCCAAUCCUCCAUAAUACUUCCUGAAAGAAAAGAAUCUUGAAAGAUUAAAAACAGAGGUUCACUUAUUUCUGCACUUAGUUCCUUAAGUACACGUGGAUGGAGCUUUGUUUAUAUUAACUUUCUUUAGUUGCUGCAGCACCUUGUCUUGAGUUAACCAAUUACAAUUAUUCUGCAAGCUUUUAGCAGCAAUCAUUUGCACAUCUAUUGCCAUGGGUUCUUCAUUAAUAUAUACGGAGGAAAAAUAGUUAUUUAAAAUUCCUGCCUUUUCCUGGUCUUGAUUAACUAACACCCCCAUUUCAGUUUUUAGUGUACCUACACUUUAAUUUUUUUUUUUUUAGAAUUUAUUUUCUUAAAGAAUGCUUUGGGGUUGGUUUUGCUCUUUUUAGCUAUCCUUUUUUCAUUUUGAAGUUUAGCAAAUCUAAUUGCCUUUUUGCACGCAUUAUUAGCUUCCUUAAAUCUUUUAUAAGAUGCAUCUGAUUUGUCCGAUUUAAUGCCCUUUUCGCAUUUUUAAUCUCUUGUUUUACUUCUCUACUAAGAAACAUUUAGAGUUGAGCGAACCCGAACAUUACGGUUUUUGGACCCCGGACCAGAAUUCAUACAUUUCACUGUAUGUUCGGGUUGGAGUUCGGCGAUUUAAUGGUGCUUUUUGAAAGGCUGCAGGGUAGCCAAUCAACAAGCGUUUGACUUGUGUGCCCUUAGAAGCCAUCACAGCCAUGCCUACUAAUGGCAUGGCUGUGAUUGGCCAGUGCAGCAUGUGAGCGAUCUACCAAAAGACUGAAAGACCUAAAUUGGUCUUUCAGCCAUAUUUACUAAUACUAAGUAAAGAUUACUUAGAAUUAGUAAAUUAUACCCCUACUCGCUAUACCGCGAGUAGGGGCGUGUCUAGUAAACAGUGAGCAGCCAGUGGCUGCUCACUGUAAAAAACAAAAACCUAUUGGCCCCCACCCCUGAACGGCGGGUGUGGGCCCUAAAGUAAAAUAAGGGGGGGGGACCUACUGUCCUCCCCCCGGCCCCCACUCCUGAGCGGUGGGUGGGGGCCCUA